GGUAGGUUAGAGGUUGUGAAAGGGGGUAUUCACUGUCUCCACCCAAUCUCUUCUCCCACAGUUAUUUUCUGGGACUCUGCACUAUACAACUUUAUUUGAUGGCAGAACAUUCAGAGGCUGUAAGCUUGACACAUGGCAAAAUGCUUCUGCUGUUACUGUGUCUCGGUUUGGUAACUUCUAAUGUCCAGUCAGGAAUGAAAGGGAUUGACGUAACGUGUGAAAGUCAAUCGGUUGUAGCAGGACGGAACCACAACCUGACAUGUAGAGUGGAUUGCCGUGAUGCAGAUCAGAAUAAGACGGGAUGUAAAACUGAACGUGAGAAAUGAAAAACAAGCGUUUCUGGGAUCGUCAGGUCACCUAUCGUCAUUAUCAUCACUGUUCUGGGUCUUCUACUGUUUCUCAUCUCUUCUGGCUAUGGCAGAAGAUUGAUGGGUCGACUUAAGUUCCUUGAGAAAAAUGACAACAUUGACAAGAGCCCUGAAGCUACCAGAGAGGCCCUAAACCUGGAGCCUGCAUAACAUUCAGUUCAUGGAGGAGCCGUGUGUGUGAGAGCGUGUGUGUGUGCGUGUUAAGUAUUCUAUCCUUGUGGGGACAUAUCCCACGUCCCCAUGAAGACACAGGCUAUUUUAAGCUUAGGUUUAGGGUUACAAUUAGGGUUAGGAGUUAGGUUUGGGUUAGUGUUAGGGUAAGGGUUAGGGAAAAUAUGACUUUGAAUGUAAAUAAAUGUUAGUUCCCCACAAGGAUAAAAUAACGUGUGUGUGGCUUGUUAAUAGUUGUUUUCAAAAAUAUUUUUUGCACCAAAGUUAGUGGAAUUAGUUUCUGUUUCAAAUCACUAAUAAGAGUUAUUCACUGACUUGACUAGUGUAAAUACCACUACAGUACAAUGUACAUUUAUAGUGACUAAUGCAUUGUUACACAUAGCCUGUUCACUACCAUACAAUAACUGAGAAUGUGAAUUAAUCAAUAUAAAUAAUGCUACACAAAUAUUAAAAAGCCUUAAAGGACAAUAUUCAUCUUUAUAUUCAACACCAAAGUUGGAAGAUAACAGGUCGGUCUGCCUAAACUGCAUUGUCAUAACCUUUACUAAGCUUGUUUAAAAAGGCAGUUGGUUUUGGUCUGCACAGUGCCUUCAGAAAGUAUUCAUACCCCUUAACUUACUGAAUUCAAAAUGGAUUAAAUCGAUUUAUUUUCUCACCCAUCUACACACUAUACCCCAUAAUGACAAAGUGAAAACAUGUUUUCAGAAAUGUUUACUAAUUUACUGCAAAUGAAAAACAGAAAUAUGUCAUUUACAUAAGUAGUCACACCCCUAAGUCAAUACUUUGUAGAAGCACCUUUGACAGUGAUUACAGCUGUGACUCUGUCUGGGUAAGUCUCUAAGAGCUUUCCACACCUGGACUGUUCAACAUUUGCCCAUUAUUCUCUUCAAAAUUCUUCAAGCUCUGCCAAAUUUGCUGUUGAUCAUUGCUAGAGAACCAUUUUCAGGUCUUGCCAUAGAUUCACUGUCUUCUUGGUAAGCAACUCCAGUGUAGAUUUGGCCUUGUGUUAUUGUCCAGCUGAAAGGUGAAUUCAUCUCCCAGUGUCUGGUGUAUUGGAUUAGCCUAAAAAAUAACACUUUCUAUUCAGGACAAAAGCUUAACUGCUUUGCCAUAUAACUAUAGUUCCUUGUUUCAAACAUGAUGCAUGUUUUGGAAUAUGUUUUAUUCUGUACAGGCUUCCUUCUUUUCACUCUGUCAAUUAUUAUUAUUUAUUUACCUUUAUAUAACUAGGCAGGUCAGUUAAGAACAAAUUCUUAUUUACAAUGACAGCCUACUCGGGAACAGUGGGUUAACUGCCUUGUUCAGGUGCAGAACGACAGAUUUUUACCUUGUCAGCUCGGUGAUUCGAUCCACAAACCUUUUGGUUAAUGGCCCAACACUCUAACCACUAGGCAACAUGCCGCCCCAUCAAACUAGUCAAUUAGGUUAGUAUUGUGUAGUAAUUACAAUGUGUUUGAUCCAUCCUCAAUGUUUUCCUAUCACAACCAUUAAACUCUGUAACUGUUUUAAAGUCACCAGUAGCUUCAUUGUGAAAUCCAUGAGUGGUUUCCUUCCUGUCUAACAACUGAGUUAGGAAGGACGCCUGUAUCUUUGUAGUGACUGGAUGUAUUGAUACACCACCCAAAGUGAAAUUAGUAACUCCACCAUGCUCAAAGGGAUAUUCAAUGUCUGCUUUUUGCUUUGUUUUACCCAUCUACCAAUAGGUGCCCUUUACAAGGCAUUUGGAAAACCUCCCUGGUCUUUGUGCUUGAAUCUGUGUUUGAAAUUCCCUGCUCGUCCAAAGGACCUUACCAAUAAUUGUAUGUGUGGGGUACAGAGAUAAAGUAGUCAUUUAUAAAAUCAUGUUAAAACACUAUUAUUGCACACAGAGUGAGUCCAUGCAAUGUAUUAUGUGAUUUGUUAAGCAAAUGUUUACUCCUGAACUUAUUUAGACUUGCCAUAUCAAAGGGGUUGAAUACUUUUUCACUCAAGACAUUUCAGAUUUUCAUUUUUAAUUCAUUUGUAAAUCUUUUGAAAAACAUAAUUCCACUUUGACAUUAUGGGCUAUUGUGUGUAGACCAGUGACCCAAACAUCUCAGUUGAAUUUAUUUCAGGCUUUACCACAACAAAAUGUGGACAAAGUCAAGGGGUGUGAAUACUUUCUGAAGGCACGGUAUCAUUUGAUGUGUUGUAUUAUUCUGCAAAACUCACACAAGCAGUGAUUUACCACUAAGCUUGUUUUGUAAUAUAGAUGUAAUAUUCUGCAUGGGAAUUUUGUUAUGAAUAUGGCUAUUGAUUUAUGUACAAAUACACUUUAGGAAAUAACCAGUCUUAUUAUAAUGUUACUUCUAUCAUAUAGAGCUAAUUAUCUUGUAUUUAAUUAUUAUCUACACCAAUCAUGUAUAUUUCAGACAUCACAGUACAUACAGUAACUCGCAGGUAGACAUUUAUUUGGAUGACUCAUGUACUGGAGGCAGCUCUACAGAGUGGUCACUAGCUGGCACAACAACAAAGUCAUAAAACCUAACCCUAACUUUAACCCUACAUAGCAUUUUUGAGAUCAAUAUUAUUUUUACAUCUACAGUGUUAAAUGUAACACUUAAUGUGUAUAUGCGACCCAUCAAAAUAGUGUUAUUAAACAAACACUGUUCAAAGUGUUGACAAACUAACACCCCUAGAGCGUUGGUUCCCUAACUCCAUGGGUGUUGCAAAUUCAGACUUUAACACUAUUAGAGAUGACGCUGCUACACUUUUUAGUUUUAUUCCCAAACACAGUAUUUUGGGGGAGUGUUGGUUUAACACUGUAUGACCAUCUGCAUUUUUAACUCAAAUACUUCUAGUAAGUUCAAUGAAAAGUAAUUAUUACUAAAACUGACUCCAAACUAAAUGAGAAGUCAAAUCAACGACAUUAUGCAUGCUCUACUGCAUGUCCAUGUUUGUGAAUUGUUUUUAAUAUCUGUGUUUUUGCAAGAACAUCAAGUGAUUUAUUGAUUAAUC